AUCCACGCAACGGGCCUUGCAAGGCAGGCCAGUAUUGUUACGCCCAUACGGAGGUGCGUGACUGACGCUCAGAAAAUACGGUGGCUUGUCAGAGGCCAUCUGGGAAGCUGUGGGAAUUCUGAAUCAGCAUCUGAAAGCAAUGAAAGGAUUGGAUAUGGCCUAACAAACUGGAAGCUUAUGCCAGACUAAAUGGAAUAAUGGAUGACAGGAGGCAGGUGCACAUAUAGCUGAUCCAACCACAUCUUUACCUUCCCGGCAACUGACUUCACAUGGGACAUCAGGUGUAGGACAGAUACAGAACAUUACUGAGGCAAGGAGAGAGAAAACAGGAAUGCCAGCAAAAGGAAAAUGGACAAAAACCCCAUGAUUUCUGAAGGGUAAAUUCACCAGCUUGCAUUCAAGAAAGCCUCUGUGCUUCAUAAUGGCACAAAAGAGAGAAAGUGGCAUGGCUCAGGCUUCUCCCACCAAGAGCUAUGUAUGUCCUCAGAUCCUCCACUUUAGACAAACAUUAAAGAUAGAGGUUUACUGGUUGUGUAUGAAAUCUGAUGAGCUGCAAUUCUUUGCAGGGCAAAAUAGCACGUUGGGGAGCUGGGGGUCAGAGACAAUGCACUACAAUGGACUGUAGGUUCAAGGGUGGAACUAUCAUGUAAUCUAAAGAUUAUGCUGUGGCAUCAAGUGAUUAAAGGUUCCCCCCUUCAUCAUUACAGCGUUGUGGCAAGAGUGACCUGUCCCUCUGCUAGCAACUCAUUUGGUGGGGAAGGGGAAAGAAAACAGGGUGCUAGACAAAGAGAAAAUGGGUGGCUCUGCCCACUUUUGGCUCUAUCCCUGCCUACUGUGGGCAUGCAGCCUUGACAGAUUGCCCUCAAGCAUAGGAUAGCUCAGUCAGUACAGAAUGAGAUUCUUAAUCUCAGGGUCAUGGGUUUGAGCCCACAUUAGACAAAAG